UACAGAGGUCUCAAGCGUUGUUCGGAUUCAUUGGGCGUAAAGGGUGCGUAGGUGGCGAGGUAAGUUGGAUGUGAAAUCCCGGGGCUCAACCCCGGAACUGCAUUCAAUACUGCCUUGCUUGAGUACUGGAGAGGAGAUUGGAAUUUACGGUGUAGCAGUGAAAUGCGUAGAUAUCGUAAGGAAGACCAGUGGCGAAGGCGGAUCUCUGGACAGUUACUGACACUGAGGCACGAAGGCCAGGGGAGCAAACGGG
rnacentral:rRNA from 2 species